AUCCUUUCUGAGGGAAGUUGUCUAGCU
rnacentral:piRNA from 1 species